rnacentral:rRNA from 1 species
UGACAUAAGUAACGAUAAAGCGGGUGAAAAGCCCGCUCGCCGGAAGACCAAGGGUUCCUGUCCAACGUUAAUCGGGGCAGGGUGAGUCGACCCCUAAGGCGAGGCCGAAAGGCGUAGUCGAUGGGAAACAGGUUAAUAUUCCUGUACUUGGUGUUACUGCGAAGGGGGGACGGAGAAGGCUAUGUUGGCCGGGCGACGGUUGUCCCGGUUUAAGCGUGUAGGCUGGUUUUCCAGGCAAAUCCGGAAAAUCAAGGCUGAGGCGUGAUGACGAGGCACUACGGUGCUGAAGCAACAAAUGCCCUGCUUCCAGGAAAAGCCUCUAAGCAUCAGGUAACAUCAAAUCGUACCCCAAACCGACACAGGUGGUCAGGUAGAGAAUACCAAGGCGCUUGAGAGAACUCGGGUGAAGGAACUAGGCAAAAUGGUGCCGUAACU